AUUGAACGCUGGCGGCAUACUUUACACAUGCAAGUCGAACGGUAACAGGUUAAGCUGACGAGUGGCGAACGGGUGAGUAAUGCAUCGGAACGUGCCCGAUCGUGGGGGAUAACGCAGCGAAAGCUGCGCUAAUACCGCAUACGAUCCGAGGAUGAAAGCGGGGGACCGUAAGGCCUCGCGCGAUCGGAGCGGCCGAUGUCAGAUUAGGUAGUGGGUGGGGUAAAGGCUCACCAAGCCAACGAUCUGUAGCUGGUCUGAGAGGACGACCAGCCACACUGGGACGGAGACACGGCCCAGACUCCUAAGGGAGGCAGCAGUGGGGAAUUUUGUACGAUGGGCGAAAGCCUGAUCCAGCAAUGCCGCGUGCAGGAAGAAGGCCUUCGGGUUGUAAACUGCUUUUGUACGGAGCGAAAAGGCUCUCUCUAAUACAGGGGGCUCAUGACGGUACCGUAAGAAUAAGCACCGGCUAACUACGUGCCAGCCGCCGCGGUAA
rnacentral:rRNA from 1 species